rnacentral:rRNA from 1 species
ACGGGUGAGUAAUGUCUGGGGAUCUGCCCGAUAGAGGGGGAUAACCACUGGAAACGGUGGCUAAUACCGCAUAACGCCGCAAGACCAAAGAGGGGGACCUUCGGGCCUCUCACUAUCGGAUGAACCCAGAUGGGAUUAGCUAGUAGGCGGGGUAACGGCCCACCUAGGCGACGAUCCCUAGCUGGUCUGAGAGGAUGACCAGCCACACUGGAACUGAGACACGGUCCAGACUCCUACGGGAGGCAGCAGUGGGGAAUAUUGCACAAUGGGCGCAAGCCUGAUGCAGCCAUGCCGCGUGUAUGAAGAAGGCCUUCGGGUUGUAAAGUACUUUCAGCGGGGAGGAAGGCGAUGUGGUUAAUAACCGCAUUGAUUGACGUUACCCGCAGAAGAAGCACCGGCUAACUCCGUGCCAGCAGCCGCGGUAAUACGGAGGGUGCAAGCGUUAAUCGGAAUUACUGGGCGUAAAGCGCACGCAGGCGGUCUGUUAAGUCAGAUGUGAAAUCCCCGGGCUUAACAUGGGAACUGCAUUUGAAACUGGCAGGCUUGAGUCUCGUAGAGGGGGGUAGAAUUCCAGGUGUAGCG